rnacentral:rRNA from 1 species
AAGAACAAGUGCAAGAGUAACUGCUUGCACCUUGACGGUACCUAACCAGAAAGCCACGGCUAACUACGUGCCAGCAGCCGCGGUAAUACGUAGGUGGCAAGCGUUGUCCGGAAUUAUUGGGCGUAAAGGGCUCCAGGCGGUUUCUUAAGUCUGAUGUGAAAGCCCCCGGCUCAACCGGGGGGUCAUUGGAAACUGGGAAACUUGAGUGAGAAGAGGAGAUGGAAUUCCACGUGUAGCGGUGAAAUGCGUAGAGAUGUGGAGGAACACCAGUGGCGAAGGCACUCUCUGGUCUUAACUGACGCUGAGGAGCGAAAGCGUGGGGAGCGAACAGGAUUAGAUACCCUGGUAGUCCACCGUAAACGAUGAGUGCUAAGUGUUAGGGGGUUCGCCCCUUAGUGCUGCAGCUACGCAUUAAGCACUCCGCCUGGGGAGUACGGUCGCAAGACUGAAACUCAAAGGAAUUGACGGGGGCCCGCACAAGCGGUGGAGCAUGUGGUUUAAUUCGAAGCAACGCGAAGAACCUUACAGGUCUUGACAUCCUCUGACACCCUAGAGAUAGGGCUUUCCCUUCGGGGACAGAGUGACAGUGGUGCAUGGUUGUCGUCAUCGUGUCGUGAGAUGUUGGGUUAAGCCCCAACGAGCGCAACCCUUGAUCUAGUUGCCAGCAUUCAGUUGGGCACUCUAAGGUGACUGCCGGUGACAAACCGGAGGAAGGUGGGGAUGACGUCAAAUCAUCAUCCCCUUAUGACCUGGGCUACACACGUGCUACAAUGGACAGAACAAAGGGCUGCGAGCCGCAAGGUUUAGCCAUCCCACAAAUCUGUUCUCAGUUCGGAUCGCAGUCUGCAACUCGACUGCGUGAAGCUGGAAUCGCUAGUAAUCGCGGAUCAGCAUGCCGCGGUGAAUACGUUCCCGGCCUGUACACACCGCCCGUCACACCACGAGAGUUUGCAACACC